rnacentral:rRNA from 1 species
AUUGAACGCUGGCGGCGUGCUUAACACGUGCAAGUCGAACGGUAAGGCCCUUCGGGGUACACGAGUGGCGAACGGGUGAGUAACACGUGGGUGAUCUGCCCUGCACUUCGGGAUAAGCCUGGGAAACUGGGUCUAAUACCGGAUAGGACCACUGCCUGCAUGGGUGGUGGUGGAAAGCUUUUGCGGUGUGGGAUGGGCCCGCGGCCUAUCAGCUUGUUGGUGGGGUGAUGGCCUACCAAGGCGACGACGGGUAGCCGGCCUGAGAGGGUGACCGGCCACACUGGGACUGAGAUACGGCCCAGACUCCUACGGGAGGCAGCAGUGGGGAAUAUUGCACAAUGGGCGCAAGCCUGAUGCAGCGACGCCGCGUGAGGGAUGACGGCCUUCGGGUUGUAAACCUCUUUCAGCACCGACGAAGCGCAAGUGACGGUAGGUGCAGAAGAAGGACCGGCCAACUACGUGCCAGCCGCCGCCGUAA